rnacentral:rRNA from 1 species
CCAGUAGUCAUAUGCUUGUCUCAAAGAUUAAGCCAUGCACGUCUAAGGAUAAAUAUUAUUUAACCAUAAACCUGCGAAAGGCUCAUUAAAUCAGUAAUAAUCUAUUCUAUUAUUUAAUCCUAUUUGGAUAACUGUAGUAAUUCUAGAGCUAAUACAUGCAAAAAACCUGGACUUUACAGAACAGGUGUACUUAUUAGACUUUAAAACCGAUUACAAUUUAUUGUAAAUUUAAAAUGAAUUAAAAUAAGUUUAUGAAUCGCAGAUCAUUUUGUGAUGAUAAGAAUGAAUUUCUGCCCUAUCAACUUUCGAUGGUAAUGUAGUGGAUUACCAUGGUGAUGACGGGUAACGGGGAAUUAGGUUUGAUUCCGGAGAAAAGGCCUGAGAGACGGCCAUUACUUCUAAGGAAGGCAGCAGGCGCGUAAAUUACCCAAUCCUAAUAC